AGUGAACGCUGGCGGUAGGCCUAACACAUGCAAGUCGAACGGCAGCACAGUAAGAGCUUGCUCUUACGGGUGGCGAGUGGCGGACGGGUGAGGAAUACAUCGGAAUCUACUUUUUCGUGGGGGAUAACGUAGGGAAACUUACGCUAAUACCGCAUACGACCUACGGGUGAAAGCAGGGGAUCUUCGGACCUUGCGCGAUUGAAUGAGCCGAUGUCGGAUUAGCUAGUUGGCGGGGUAAAGGCCCACCAAGGCGACGAUCCGUAGCUGGUCUGAGAGGAUGAUCAGCCACACUGGAACUGAGACACGGCCCAGACUCCUACGGGAGGCAGCAGUGGGGAAUAUUGGACAAUGGGCGCAAGCCUGAUCCAGCCAUACCGCGUGGGUGAAGAAGGCCUUCGGGUUGUAAAGCCCUUUUGUUGGGAAAGAAAAGCAGCAGGUUAAUACCCCGCUGUUCUGACGGUACCCAAAGAAUAAGCACCGGCUAGCUUCGUG
rnacentral:rRNA from 1 species